GUAAUUUUAGUUUAUUAUAGAAUGAUGGUUUGUCUAAUCGUUGGUGACUUAGUUCGUCAAAUUACU
rnacentral:tRNA from 1 species